rnacentral:rRNA from 1 species
GCGCACCAGGCGAGAAUCUUCCACAAUGGACGAAGUCUGAUGGAGCGACGCCGCGUGCGGGAUGAAGGCCUUAUGGGUUGUAAACCGCUGUCAGGGGGAAGAACAUCGGAAUGAACAAUACUCAUUCCGACUGACGUUACCCCAGAGGAAGCUCCGGCCAACUCCGUGCCAGCAGCCGCGGUAAUACGGGGGAGCAAGCGUUGUCCGGAAUUAUUGGGCGUAAAGGGCGUGUAGGCGGCGAGGUAAGUCGAAUGUGAAAUCUCACGGCUCAACCGUGAAACUGCGUUCGAAACUACCCUGCUUGAGUACGGGAGAGGUGUACGGAAUUCCUGGU